UACGGAGGGUGCAAGCGUUACCCGGAAUCACUGGGCUUAAAGGGCGCGUAGGCGGGCCGUCAAGUCAGGGGUGAAAUCCCACGGCUCAACCGUGGAAGUGCCUCUGAUACUGGGGGCCUCGAGGGAGGUAGGGGCGUGCGGAACUUCCGGUGGAGCGGUGAAAUGCGUAGAUAUCGGAAGGAACAUCGGUGGCGAAAGCGGCGCGCUGGAUCUCUUCUGACGCUGAGGCGCGAAAGCCAGGGGAGCAAACGGG
rnacentral:rRNA from 1 species